rnacentral:lncRNA from 1 species
UUUCACCAAUUUUUCAAGUAAUGCCUGUUUUCUUCUCUGGGAUCCAGCCCAGGAUUGCAUAUCACAUUUAGUGGUCCUGUCUCAUUAGUCUCCUGUAAAUUGUGACCAUUUCUCAGUUUCCUUGUUUUUCAUGUCCCUGACAUUUUUGAGGAGUACUGGUCAUUUUGUUGAAUGUCUUCAAUUUGAGUUUGUUAUCCCUUUUAUUUUGAAGGAAGGGACCUCUCAGUGUUUGUGCCACUUUGUGAUUUGACUUCUAGUCAUAAACGUGGCUGGAGACUGGGCUGUUCAUAGAAGACCUGAUGUUCUCUUCGCCUCAGGUGGGCAUCUUGUGUCUCUGAAGACUUCAAGACUGAGUGGCACCAAGUUCAGCAGACUUUUGUUUUUUGCAGGUGUGAUUCUCAUCUGAGGAUCCCUCGCAAUUCUACUCCUCUGUCCAGAAGUCUCUUAGCAAAUUCAAAACAGCUGGAAAUAGUUGCAUGCCUAAGAGUGAGAGAAAUUGCUUCAGUGAGUCAACCAAACCUGGGUCUGAUUAGUGCCUGCAUGUAUCUUGGAGACAGUGAUCUGGGAGCUGAGGUGGAAAGAGAAAGGAGAAUGAUUCUGAAAUAA